UACAAGCAAUGGGCAAGUUUUCUCAUUUG
rnacentral:piRNA from 1 species